rnacentral:rRNA from 1 species
AUUGAACGCUGGCGGCAGGCCUAACACAUGCAAGUCGAGCGGAUGAAGGGAGCUUGCUCCUGGAUUCAGCGGCGGACGGGUGAGUAAUGCCUAGGACUCUGCCUGGUAGUGGGGGAUAACGUCCGGAAACGGGCGCUAAUACCGCAUACGUCCUGAGGGAGAAAGUGGGGGAUCUUCGGACCUCACGCUAUCAGAUGAGCCUAGGUCGGAUUAGCUAGUUGGUGGGGUAAAGGCCUACCAAGGCGACGAUCCGUAACUGGUCUGAGAGGAUGAUCAGUCACACUGGAACUGAGACACGGUCCAGACUCCUACGGGAGGCAGCAGUGGGGAAUAUUGGACAAUGGGCGAAAGCCUGAUCCAGCCAUGCCGCGUGUGUGAAGAAGGUCUUCGGAUUGUAAAGCACUUAAGUUGGGAGGAAGGGCAGUAAGUUAAUACCUUGCUGUUUUGACGUUACCAACAGAAUAAGCACCGGCUAACUUCGUG